rnacentral:lncRNA from 1 species
UCCCUCCCAGUCCCUCCCAGUCCAUCCCAGUCCAUUCCAGGAGUACGGGCCGCGUUUCCGGAAUUCCCUCGGGAAUCUUUUCCUGGAAUUUUUGCUCCGCCUGGAGAGCGCCCUUCCCCCACCCGACCUGGCCCAGCUCGACACCCUCUGCCGAAGCCACGCCCCCCCGGGCUUUAAGACACGCCCCCUCCCCAUCCUGCGCCGCUAUUUGGCCGAGGUUGGCCACGCCCACCCGGCGCCGGUGCCACGCCCCAUCCCGGCUCGGAAGACCACGCCCAUGUGAGUGGCCACGCCCACAAAGGCAGCAUUGUGAUUAA